AAUGAACGCUGGCGGCAUGCCUAACACAUGCAAGUCGAACGAGACCUUCGGGUCUAGUGGCGCACGGGUGCGUAACGCGUGGGAACCUGCCCUUAGGUUCGGAAUAACUCCCCGAAAGGGGUGCUAAUACCGGAUAAUGUCUUCGGACCAAAGAUUUAUCGACUUUGGAUGGGCCCGCGUUGGAUUAGCUAGUUGGUAGGGUAAAAGCCUACCAAGGCGACGAUCCAUAGCUGGUCUGAGAGGAUGAUCAGCCACACUGGGACUGAGACACGGCCCAGACUCCUACGGGAGGCAGCAGUGGGGAAUAUUGGACAAUGGGCGAAAGCCUGAUCCAGCAAUGCCGCGUGAGUGAUGAAGGCCUUAGGGUUGUAAAGCUCUUUUACCCGGGAUGAUAAUGACAGUACCGGGAGAAUAAGCUCCGGCUAACUCCGUG
rnacentral:rRNA from 1 species